rnacentral:misc_RNA from 1 species
GGAGGUAUUCGAAUCCCCCGGUCGGAUUUUGUUGCUUGUGCCUCGUACCUCAGUGUCGGCAUCAGCAUUGUCCCAAAGAACGGCCAGUUGUCCCAGUUUUCGUGUCUCGGUGCUCAUGUGUCCCUGUCACGGGGCUGGCUUGGAAACAUCGAUAGCGCUCGCUCAUCUACUACUAACGUUGUCGCGGGCGUGGCGUUAUCGAUGUUCGAUCUCUCGUGCGCGGAAUGCCCAUCGGCGCGGUGGUUCAUCGAACCCCGCUAAAUAGACCCUCGAUGAAAAGUCGUCCGAUGCAAUCUUGAGUGACCAUCGUGCCUGCGAAUGUGUUUGCCGCCGAGAAGGCGCAGCGCAUGCAGUGCCGAUGUCGUACGGGAACGCUACCUGGUUGAUCCUGCCAGUAGUCAUAUGCUUGUCUCAAAGAUUAAGCCA